CGGACGCGCAUGAUGAGCGGAGAGCGGUCAACGGAACUCUUGACAGGGCAACGCGCCUGAUAACGUCAGGGGGCUGGCCACGCAGGUUCUGCCGUGAGGCAGAGUCACACGCUGCGGCGUGUGGCGCUGGGUUCAACCCAGCGCGGUGCGGCUCAGCUACGGAAAGUGCCACAGAGAAUAGACCGCCGGCGGAGCGCAGCACGGUGGCAUCGCGCAGGGAGACCUGCGGGACGCCGACGCAACGCACGCAACGUUGGGCAAGGGUGAAAAGGUGGGGUAAGAGCCCACCGCUCCGGUGGCGACACCGGAGGCACGGAAAACCCCGCGUGGUGCAAGGCCAAAUAGGAGGGGAGAGCCGGCCCGGCUCGAUGAGCGAGCGUUUUCUAACGAGAACGCGCUCCAUUCGCUGCGGCGUCAGCCACAGCGAAAUGAAAACCCUCGGGUAGGCUGCUGGAGUCACGGUGCGAACCGUGACCUAGAGGAAUGAUCGCCGCGGCGCGCGGACCGUUUUGCGAACUGCGUGCUGCACAGAAUCCGGCUUACAGGCCCGUCCGCCAU
rnacentral:RNase_P_RNA from 1 species